AUACGGAGGAUCCGAGCGUUAUCCGGAUUUAUUGGGUUUAAAGGGAGCGUAGGCGGACGCUUAAGUCAGUUGUGAAAGUUUGCGGCUCAACCGUAAAAUUGCAGUUGAUACUGGGUGUCUUGAGUACAGUAGAGGCAGGCGGAAUUCCGGGGGUAGCGGUGAAAUGCUUAGAUAUCACGAAGAACUCCGAUUGCGAAGGCAGCCUGCUGGACUGUAACUGACGCUGAUGCUCGAAAGUGUGGGUAUCAAACAGGAUUAGAUACCCUGGUAGUCCACACAGUAAACGAUGAAUACUCGCUGUUUGCGAUAUACAGUAAGCGGCCAAGCGAAAGCGUUAAGUAUUCCACCUGGGGAGUACGCCGGCAACGGUGAAACUCAAAGGAAUUGGCGGGG
rnacentral:rRNA from 1 species